GAAAAGCAAUAUAAAACAGAGUGCCUUCUUGCAUCAAAAUAGGAGAAAAAAGCUGCAUAUACCCUACAAUGCAAGAAGAAAGGAUAUAUCCCCAAAACUGUAACAGCUACUCCAGGGAUGCUAGAAAAAUUCACAGUGAAAAGAAAACUGACAACAAAUUAAUAAUGCAUUUACAGAAAUUCAAACAUACAAAUGAAGGUGACUCAUCCUAGAAAUUUGUCAAAUUUUUAGUGUUUUGUCUUCUGUUUUUGUUUUGUGAGGGUUCUUUUGGUUUGUUUUUUUUUUUUUGUGGGUUUUUUUGUUUGUUUGUUUUGCCUCGGUUUAACUCUCUGGCAGCUAUGUCUCAAGAUAUUUAAAUCUCAAAAUAAAAUUAGCCAGCAUUGCUAGAAAGCACAUGACCCAUUCGCUCAUUCACCAGAUACAUGGCGUUGCCAGCCCUGCAAUGACCGGCGUGAACCAGCUCUUUGGGCCAGCUGGUAAAAGUGUCUGUUAAUUUAAAAUAACCUGUUUGUUAAUUGCUUUCAACCCAAGUGGUUCUGUUCCUGCACUUUGAACCCUAAAGGUAGUUUGGAGUAAAUGUGUCUGGGACCAAGAGGUAAUUAAUGCAAGCAGGCAGCCACGGCGGCAAGAGCCAGGAUGGAGCAAGCAAGGCCCAGCCCUGGUGUCUGUGCUCUAAGGAACUGAUCCUGCUGGUCUGUUGUUGGAAAUUUUUUUUCCCCUUUCCCUUCUGCCGUCUGGUUGCAGGCUACAUACAACUGGAACCCUCUGCCAAAGCGGGCUGUCCCCUCAGCCCUCUGGCACACUGUGUUGAUCAGUAGAUAAAGCCUUCCCAGCGGUCACAGCAGCCGCUGCCAUCAACAGAGCCACAGUGGCAAGCGGGCAGCUCUGCAGAGGACUUUAGCUGCCUCUCCACCUGCCAUCACCUCCUCGGGUCCCCCAAGGUUCUCCUUGUUGCUGAGAGUCAUGGUGGUUGCUCGACCUUGGGCCCUGCAGCUGGCUGGCUUCCAGAAAGUUCCUCUGAUGACAAGGUGUGCUGAAGACUGUGUUCACGGCAUUCAGCCAGGGAGCAGGGGGCUGGUGGGAGAAAAACCUGCUGCAGUUACCUACGUACCUGCCCCAGCUCUGCCCUCCUCUGCAGCAAUGAUGCAAUCUUCUGGCCUGCGGCCCCCCUCCCUGCCCAGCACCCCGCAUCCAGUGGCAGACCAGAUGGUGACCACCUCCAAGGGCAAAAGAGGAGGAAUGUUGCCUUUGUGACCUCUCUAUGUGAGACCAGACUGCAAGUCAAGGCUGCAAGAUGUGUCACCCUAAACCACUACCACCCUUUCUUAGACACAGAGUGGAUUUAUCCCUUUCACAUUUAUUUUGUUUUUG
rnacentral:lncRNA from 1 species